CCUACGGGUGGCUGCAGUGAGGAAUAUUGGUCAAUGGGCGAGAGCCUGAACCAGCCAAGUCGCGUGAGGGAAGACGGUCCUAUGGAUUGUAAACCUCUUUUGCCGGGGUGCAAAAAGCGGUACGUGUACCGCAUCGAGAGUACCCGGAGAAAAAGCAUCGGCUAACUCCGUGCCAGCAGCCGCGGUAAUACGGAGGAUGCGAGCGUUAUCCGGAUUUACUGGGUGUAAAGGGAGCGUAGACGGUUAUGUAAGUCUGGAGUGAAAGCCCGGGGCCCAACCCCGGGACUGCUUUGGAAACUGUGUAACUGGAGUACAGGAGGGGCAGGCGGAAUUCCUGGUGUAGCGGUGAAAUGCGUAGAUAUCAGGAGGAACACCGGCGGCGAAGGCGGCCUGCUGGACUGAAACUGACGUUGAGGCUCGAAAGCGUGGGGAGCAAACAGGAUUAGAUACCCGGGUAGUC
rnacentral:rRNA from 1 species